rnacentral:tRNA from 2 species
GCCGACGUAGCUCAGUGGCAGAGCAGCUGAUUCGUAAUCAGCAGGUCCGGGGUUCAAGUCCCCGCGUCGGCU